UACGGAGGGGGCUAGCGUUGUUCGGAAUUACUGGGCGUAAAGCGCACGUAGGCGGCUUUGCAAGUUAGAGGUGAAAGCCCGGGGCUCAACUCCGGAAUUGUCUUUAAAACUGCAUCGCUAGAAUUGUGGAGAGGUAAGUGGAAUUCCGAGUGUAGAGGUGAAAUUCGUAGAUAUUCGGAAGAACACCAGUGGCGAAGGCGACUUACUGGACACAUAUUGACGCUGAGGUGCGAAAGCGUGGGGAGCAAACAGG
rnacentral:rRNA from 1 species